CUUCCAGUAGCACCUUAGAGACCAACUAAGUUUGUUAUUGGUAUGAGCUUUCGUGUGCAUGAACACUUCUUCAGAUACCGCUCAUACCAAUAAAAAACUUAGUUGGUCUCUAAGGUGCUACUGGAAG